rnacentral:rRNA from 1 species
GAUAGUGGCGACGGGUGAGUAACACGUGGGCAAUCUGCCCUUCACUCUGGGACAAGCCCUGGAAACGGGGUCUAAUACCGGAUAACACCGGCCUCUGCAUGGGGGCUGGUUAAAAGCUCCGGCGGUGAAGGAUGAGCCCGCGGCCUAUCAGCUUGUUGGUGGGGUAAUGGCCUACCAAGGCGACGACGGGUAGCCGGCCUGAGAGGGCGACCGGCCACACUGGGACUGAGACACGGCCCAGACUCCUACGGGAGGCAGCAGUGGGGAAUAUUGCACAAUGGGCGAAAGCCUGAUGCAGCGACGCCGCGUGAGGGAUGACGGCCUUCGGGUUGUAAACCUCUUUCAGCAGGGAAGAAGCGAAAGUGACGGUACCUGCAGAAGAAGCGCCGGCUAACUACGUGCCAGCAGCCGCGGUAAUACGUAGGGCGCAAGCGUUGUCCGGAAUUAUUGGGCGUAAAGAGCUCGUAGGCGGCUUGUCACGUCGGGUGUGAAAGCCCGGGGCUUAACCCCGGGUCUGCAUCCGAUACGGGCAGGCUAGAGUGUGGUAGGGGAGAUCGGAAUUCCUGGUGUAGCGGUGAAAUGCGCAGAUAUCAGGAGGAACACCGGUGGCGAAGGCGGAUCUCUGGGCCAUUACUGACGCUGAGGAGCGAAAGCGUGGGGAGCGAACAGGAUUAGAUACCCUGGUAGUCCACGCCGUAAACGUUGGGAACUAGGUGUUGGCGACAUUCCACGUCGUCGGUGCCGCAGCUAACGCAUUAAGUUCCCCGCCUGGGGAGUACGGCCGCAAGGCUAAACUCAAGGAAUUGACGGGGGCCCGCACAGCAGCGGAGCAUGUGGCUUAUUCGACGCAACGCG